GAUAAUAUCGCAAAUCUUUUAUUUCUUUCUCUCUCUAAAAUUUCACAAAAUGCGCCAAAAAUAAAACUGUGUCCAUAAUUUCACUCAUAUUUCAUUAAUCUCUCACCCAAUUUCACUACAUUCCGAUCGUAUUUCUCUAAGCUUCGGUUGAUUUCACUAUGCUUUGACAAUUCUCUCUCAAAUCGACCAUCGUACAACUGCUCUGACCACUAUUUAGGAGCUAACAUUUGUGUAAAGAGAUGGAUACUUUUGACAAUUGCUAUUAAGAUAAAUUUGGGUUCAACAACAUCCUGUGGGUAUGGAGUGGUAGGCGUGGUGUCCAUUGUUGGGUUUUUGAUGGAAAAAAAAAGGUACUAUCCAAGAUGUGUAUUCUAGGAUUGAUGUUUAUUCUAUUUACUACUAUGGUCAUUGUAUUAAUAUUUCGACUAUGUUCAUAAUGUUCUUGUUACCAUCAUCAUAAUCAGGCUGAACAAUGAAUAGAAGGCCAUAAUUAUUGAUUAUUUUUGCGUUUACAAGGUUUUUAUAGCUACCUUACAUGACUGCUUGGGGAAAUUAUGAUAGGUUUUGGUUCUAACAGAAAUAUGUUAUGUUUACUACUCAGGUCAAUGAGAAUAGCACUAAAAAAGUGUCUCUAGUGGGUCUUGUACUUCAUCCUUUCCUUGUGAGAUCUUAUACUGAAAGAUUACUUUGAGAAUAGAUUGCUAUCAAGUCAAAGUUUGUUCUUGAAUGAGGAGAGGUUCGACUAAAUUCUGGGAAUGAUACAUAAUAAGUUUGUUACAUCAGAUCUUUGGAGAAAGUGGUUGUUUAACAAGCAGUCGAUGUUGCUCGCUGGGAUCAACUAAAACAUUUAUUGCCAUCCAUUAAAUAAAAGUGUCUCAGGUCUCAAAGCACAUAAAUCACUUAUUGAAGGCUCAUUUCUAUGUGCACCCCAAAAUAGAUUCGCUUCUUCUAUGCUUGAAUCAUAUGCACAACAAAGAUACUUGAAUUGUUGUAUCUCCUUAUCAUUGGAUAUGCUUUCAUUUAUGGUCAGUGUAUUUUAACUGAAUUUACUCAUUUUGGUAGGCCUAGUUUGUGUUCCUAUUAUUCCCAUGAACUUUGAUAAAUUUGAUCCUUCUUUUGUUCCAACCCUU